rnacentral:lncRNA from 1 species
GUUAAUGGUCAUGUCGUUUCCGGGUCGACCCUCCCCAUGGUUCCUGGCAUUCCAAUGCCACCAGGAAUGAAUGCCGUACAUGUCCAUUGGUGGUGGACCACCAUUGAUGCCUGUAGCAAUGCCAAUGCCUCCGAUGAUGCCCGGUCCAGGAAUGGUUCCGCCUCCAGGUAUCCGUCCUUACACAGCACCACCGCCACGCUCCCCACCGCAUCAAAAUAGUACGGCAAAAAAACCCUCAACUCCAACAAAGAAGCCCGAUCCAGAACAGAGAAACCACCUGGGCCUCCGGUAG